rnacentral:rRNA from 1 species
GAUGAACGCUAGCGGCAGGCUUAAUACAUGCAAGUCGAGGGGCAGCGGGAGUAGCAAUACUUGCCGGCGACCGGCGCACGGGUGCGUAACACGUAUGUAAUCUGCCCAUCACAGGAGGAUAGCCCGGAGAAAUUCGGAUUAAUACUCCAUAAUAGAAGAUAAAGCAUUUUAUUUUCUUGAAAGUUCCGACGGUGAUGGAUGAACAUGCGACUGAUUAGUUUGUUGGUGAGGUAACGGCUCACCAAGACUACGAUCAGUAGGGGUACUGAGAGGUUAAACCCCCACACUGGUACUGAGACACGGACCAGACUCCUACGGGAGGCAGCAGUAAGGAAUAUUGGACAAUGGCCGCAAGGCUGAUCCAGCCAUGCCGCGUGCAGGAAGACGGACCUAU